GUUGCGCGCUACGGACUGGCGAACCCGCGAGAGUAUUCUAGGCCGCUUGUGUGAUCAAACAGAUCCAUUCCGUUCUUGGGGAACAUCAUCGAGAUUAGACGUGGGCUCUCAACUUUAUUCCAGUGGCGGACGGGGGUCCUUUGCAUCUGUAUUGAGGUGCCGAUAGCCGCAUUCACGCCCGAAGACGUGGAGACUCGCAGCAGGAAGAUCUUGUUCAAGCCUGUAAGAGAUUGGAGCAACAUCCGCUGCUUUAUAAUAGCAGUAAUUGCAUUUAUUUAGACGCAGAACUUCUUUACGACCACAUCAAACAGGAGAAUUUUCAGGCGCAUACUUCAACUGCACCUCAGCGCCAGGUAGGCAUAUGACAGUA
rnacentral:lncRNA from 1 species